rnacentral:rRNA from 1 species
UUCCGGUUGAUCCCGCCGGACCCGACUGCUAUUUGGGUGAGAAUAAGCCAUGCGAGUUGAAUGGGAUACCUAGAGUUCCCAUAGCAAACUGCUCAGUAACACAUGAUCAACUUACCCUAUAGAGAAAAAUAACCUCGGGAAACUGAGGAUAAUGUUUCACAAUUGAAUUGGCUUGGAAAAGUUUUUCAAUGAAAAGGAUAAAAAAAAUGGUUUUUAUCUGCUAUAGGAUAGGAUCGUGUUCGAUUAUGGUUGUUGGUGAGAUAAUGGCUCACCAAGCCGAUAAUCGAUAGGGGCCGUGAGAGCGGGAGCCCCGAGAUGGGUACUGAGACAACGACCCAGGCCUUACGAGGCGCAGCAGGCGCGGAACCUCCGCAAUACACGAAAGUGUGACGGGGUUACCCAAAGUGUUCAAUAGAACUGUGGUAGGUGAGUAAUGUCCCCUACUAGAAAGGAGAGGGCAAGGCUGGUGCCAGCCGCCGCGGUAAAACCAACUCUUCAAGUGGUCGGGAUAAUUAUUGGGCUUAAAGUGUCCGUAGCCGGUUUAGUAAGUUCCUGGUAAAAUCGGGUAGCUUAACUAUCUGCAUGCUAGGAAUACUGCUAUACUAGAGGGCGGGAGAGGUCUGAGGUACUACAGGGGUAGGGGUGAAAUCUUAUAAUCCUUGUAGGACCACCAGUGGCGAAGGCGUCAGACUGGAACGCGCCUGACGGUGAGGGACGAAAGCCAGGGGAGCGAACCGGAUUAGAUACCCGGGUAGUCCUGGCCGUAAACGAUGCAUACUAGGUGAUGGUACGGCCAUGAGCCGUAUCAGUGCCGUAGGGAAACCGUUAAGUGUGCCGCCUGGAAGUACGGUCGCAAGGCUAAAACUUAAAGGAAUUGGCGGGGGAGCACCACAAAGGGUGAAGCCUGCGGGUUCAAUUGGAUUCAACGCCCGGAAAUCACUAGUGCGGCC